AGUGAACGCUGGCGGUAGGCCUAACACAUGCAAGUCGAACGGCAGCACAGUAAGAGCUUGCUCUUACGGGUGGCGAGUGGCGGACGGGUGAGGAAUACAUCGGAAUCUACUUUUUCGUGGGGGAUAACGUAGGGAAACUUACGCUAAUACCGCAUACGACCUACGGGUGAAAGCAGGGGAUCUUCGGACCUUGCGCGAUUGAAUGAGCCGAUGUCGGAUUAGCUAGUUGGCGGGGUAAAGGCCCACCAAGGCGACGAUCCGUAGCUGGUCUGAGAGGAUGAUCAGCCACACUGGAACUGAGACACGGUCCAGACUCCUACGGGAGGCAGCAGUGGGGAAUAUUGGACAAUGGGCGCAAGCCUGAUCCAGCCAUGCCGCUUGGGUGAAGAAGGCCUUCGGGUUGUAAAGCCCUUUUGUUGGGAAAGAAAAGCAGCAGGUUAAUACCCCGCUGUUCUGACGGUACCCAAAGAAUAAGCACCGGCUAACUUCGUG
rnacentral:rRNA from 1 species